rnacentral:lncRNA from 1 species
CUCCUACUCAGCUCUUCGUUCCCUGCAAUUCCUGUCUUGCCCGACCCCUGCAGAGUGGAAGAAGGUGAUGGAUGGGCAGAGAAAUGGGAGAUGGACAGCUACCAGGGAAGAAUCUGUGAUUUGGGAGCCUUUUGGUGACAUGCACAUUCAAAGGACUAGGAAAGAAUGGCUUUUUCAAACAGCAUAAAUAGAAAACCAGUGGGCCCGAGCGCUCACUGCUACAUAAUGAACGUGCCUGCCUUUUCCUAACAACAUUUUAAGUCGGUAAUUGGCCCGACAGGGGACGUGAACUGUACACUGAGUCACAGAAUAGUACAGAAAAUCUCAGAAUGGCUUCACCUCCCAUCAGGAAAGCCUCCCGUGUACCAAGCCCUGUAGAGACACAUUUCUGGCAUUUGGAGGAGUGCAGACGUUCAAAAUAAGAAAGAGCUUCAGAGGACAACCGUCCCCUGGGUUCCCGGCCUUUUCCACAUCAGAAGACUCUUUGAUAUGUUCCCCUCUUUCCCUAGGGCCCCUUGUUCUAAAGGAUGCAGCCAGCAAACUAAACUGCUCUGAUCAUCUAAAAAAAAAGGAUAUGUUUCCCACAGAAUAACCACAG